UACAGAGGGCUCAAGCGUUGUUCGGAUUCAUUGGGCGUAAAGGGUGCGUAGGCGGCGCGGUAAGUCGGGUGUGAAAUCUCGGGGCUUAACUCCGAAACUGCAUUCGAUACUGCCGUGCUUGAGGACUGGAGAGGAGACUGGAAUUUACGGUGUAGCGGUGAAAUGCGUAGAUAUCGUAAGGAAGACCAGUGGCGAAGGCGGGUCUCUGGACAGUUCCUGACGCUGAGGCACGAAAGCGUGGGGAGCAAACAGG
rnacentral:rRNA from 1 species